GCAAGUCGAGCGCUACCUUCGGGUGGAGCGGCGGACGGGUUAGUAACGCGUGGGAACAUACCCUUUUCUACGGAAUAGCCUUUGGAAACGAAGAGUAAUACCGUAUACGCCCUUCGGGGGAAAGAUUUAUCGGUUAAGGAUUGGCCCGCGUUAGAUUAGAUAGUUGGUGGGGUAAUGGCCUACCAAGGCGACGAUCGGUAGCUGUUCUGAGAGGAAGAUC
rnacentral:rRNA from 1 species